rnacentral:rRNA from 1 species
UACGAAGGGGGCUAGCGUUGUCCGGAAUUAUUGGGCGUAAAGAGCUCGUAGGCGGUCUGUCGCGUCGGUCGUGAAAACUUGGGGCUUAACCCUGAGCUUGCGGUCGAUACGGGCAUGACUGGAGUUCGGUAGGGGAGACUGGAAUUCCUGGUGUAGCGGUGAAAUGCGCAGAUAUCAGGAGGAACACCGGUGGCGAAGGCGGGUCUCUGGGCCGAUACUGACGCUGAGGAGCGAAAGCGUGGGGAGCGAACAGG